rnacentral:rRNA from 1 species
UACGUAGGCAGCAAGCGUUGUUCGGAGUUACUGGGCGUAAAGGGUGCGUAGGCGGCUUCUUAAGUCUGGUGUGAAAUCUCCCGGCUCAACUGGGAGGGUGCGCCGGAUACUGAGGGGCUAGAGUGUGGGAGAGGAAGUGGAAUUCCUGGUGUAGCGGUGAAUGCGUAGAUAUCAGGAGGAACACCUGUGGUGUAGACGGCUUUCGUGGACCAUAGCUGACGCUGAGACACGGAAAGCGUGGGUAGCAAACAGGAUUAGAACCAUACGGUACGCAG